UACGUAGGGUGCAAGCGUUGUCCGGAAUUAUUGGGCGUAAAGGGCUCGUAGGCGGUUUGUCGCGUCGGGAGUGAAAACACCGGGCUUAACUCGGUGCUUGCUUUCGAUACGGGCAGACUAGAGGCAUGCAGGGGAGAACGGAAUUCCUGGUGUAGCGGUGAAAUGCGCAGAUAUCAGGAGGAACACCGGUGGCGAAGGCGGUUCUCUGGGCAUGUCCUGACGCUGAGGAGCGAAAGUGUGGGGAGCGAACAGG
rnacentral:rRNA from 1 species